rnacentral:lncRNA from 1 species
GUGCGAUGUUGGUCUGAAAGUUCGAAGUCCAAAGACUGGUAUCUCUAUUUAUUCAAUAGAAAAGAUAUUAGUUUAAAAAAAAAUUAGGUUGCCUCUCAAAAAUGCUAAGUUUAAUAUCUUCAGCCAAAUAAAAUAUUUCAAGUAAUUUAAUUAUGAUAAAUUGGCUCCUAGAGAACCAUGGUUUCGUCAAUAGAUUCUUUGGAUAGUUUCAAGAACAGUUUUAAUCUUUGACCAUUAACUUUAAAUACAGCACC